UGUGCCAGCAGCCGCGGUAAUACGUAGGGUGCGAGCGUUGUCCGGAAUUACUGGGCGUAAAGGGCUCGUAGGUGGUUUGUCGCGUCGUCUGUGAAAUUCCGGGGCUUAACUCCGGGCGUGCAGGCGAUACGGGCAUAACUUGAGUACUGUAGGGGUAACUGGAAUUCCUGGUGUAGCGGUGAAAUGCGCAGAUAUCAGGAGGAACACCGAUGGCGAAGGCAGGUUACUGGGCAGUUACUGACGCUGAGGAGCGAAAGCAUGGGUAGCGAACAGGAUUAGAUACCUGGUAGUCAAGGGCG
rnacentral:rRNA from 1 species